UUAAGCGACUAAGCGUACACGGUGGAUGCCCUGGCAGUCAGAGGCGAUGAAGGAAGUGCUAAUCUGCGAAAAGCGUCGGUAAGGUGAUAUGAACCGUUACAGCCGGCGAUGUCCGAAUGGGGAAACCCAGUGCAAUUCGUUGCACUAUCGUUAACUGAAUACAUAGGUUAACGAGGCGAACCGGGGGAACUGAAACAUCUAAGUACCCCGAGGAAAAGAAAUCAACCGAGAUUCCCCCAGUAGCGGCGAGCGAACGGGGAGCAGCCCAGAGUCUGAAUCAGCUUGUGUGUUAGUGGAACGGUCUGGAAAGUCCGACGGUACAGGGUGAUAGUCCCGUACACCAAAAUGCACAGGCUGUGAACUCGAAGAGUAGGGCGGGACACGUGGUAUCCUGUCUGAAUAUGGGGGGACCAUCCUCCAAGGCUAAAUACUCCUGACUGACCGAUAGUGAACCAGUACCGUGAGGGAAAGGCGAAAAGAACCCCGGCGAGGGGAGUGAAAAAGAACCUGAAACCGUGUACGUACAAGCAGUGGGAGCACCUUCGGGUGUGACUGCGUACCUUUUGUAUAAUGGGUCAGCGACUUAUAUUCUGUAGCAAGGUUAACCGUAUAGGGGAGCCGCAGGGAAACCGAGUCUUAACUGGGCGUUAAGUUGCAGGGUAUAGACCCGAAACCCGGUGAUCUAGCCAUGGGCAGGUUGAAGGUUGGGUAACACUAACUGGAGGACCGAACCGACUAAUGUUGAAAAAUUAGCGGAUGACUUGUGGCUGGGGGUGAAAGGCCAAUCAAACCGGGAGAUAGCUGGUUCUCCCCGAAAGCUAUUUAGGUAGCGCCUCGUGAAUUCAUCUUCGGGGGUAGAGCACUGUUUCGGCUAGGGGGUCAUCCCGACUUACCAACCCGAUGCAAACUACGAAUACCGAAGAAUGUUAUCACGGGAGACACACGGCGGGUGCUAACGUCCGUCGUGAAGAGGGAAACAACCCAGACCGCCAGCUAAGGUCCCAAAGUCAUGGUUAAGUGGGAAACGAUGUGGGAAGGCACAGACAGCCAGGAUGUUGGCUUAGAAGCAGCCAUCAUUUAAAGAAAGCGUAAUAGCUCACUGGUCGAGUCGGCCUGCGCGGAAGAUGUAACGGGGCUAAACCAUGCACCGAAGCUGCGGCAGCGACACUAUGUGUUGUUGGGUAGGGGAGCGUUCUGUAAGCCUGCGAAGGUGUGCUGUGAGGCAUGCUGGAGGUAUCAGAAGUGCGAAUGCUGACAUAAGUAACGAUAAAGCGGGUGAAAAGCCCGCUCGCCGGAAGACCAAGGGUUCCUGUCCAACGUUAAUCGGGGCAGGGUGAGUCGACCCCUAAGGCGAGGCCGAAAGGCGUAGUCGAUGGGAAACAGGUUAAUAUUCCUGUACUUGGUGUUACUGCGAAGGGGGGACGGAGAAGGCUAUGUUAGCCGGGCGACGGUUGUCCCGGUUUAAGCAUGUAGGCUGGUUAUCCAGGCAAAUCCGGAUAAUCAAGGCUGAGGUGUGAUGACGAGGCACUACGGUGCUGAAGUAACAAAUGCCCUGCUUCCAGGAAAAGCCUCUAAGCAUCAGGUAACAUCAAAUCGUACCCCAAACCGACACAGGUGGUCAGGUAGAGAAUACCAAGGCGCUUGAGAGAACUCGGGUGAAGGAACUAGGCAAAAUGGUGCCGUAACUUCGGGAGAAGGCACGCUGGUGUGUAGGUGAAGCCCCUGCGGGUGGAGCUGAGACCAGUCGAAGAUACCAGCUGGCUGCAACUGUUUAUUAAAAACACAGCACUGUGCAAACACGAAAGUGGACGUAUACGGUGUGACGCCUGCCCGGUGCCGGAAGGUUAAUUGAUGGGGUUAUCCGUAAGGAGAAGCUCUUGAUCGAAGCCCCGGUAAACGGCGGCCGUAACUAUAACGGUCCUAAGGUAGCGAAAUUCCUUGUCGGGUAAGUUCCGACCUGCACGAAUGGCGUAAUGAUGGCCAGGCUGUCUCCACCCGAGACUCAGUGAAAUUGAACUCGCUGUGAAGAUGCAGUGUACCCGCGGCAAGACGGAAAGACCCCGUGAACCUUUACUAUAGCUUGACACUGAACAUUGAGCCUUGAUGUGUAGGAUAGGUGGGAGGCUUUGAAGCGUGGACGCCAGUCUGCGUGGAGCCAACCUUGAAAUACCACCCUUUAAUGUUUGAUGUUCUAACGUUGGCCCCUGACCGGGGUUGCGGACAGUGUCUGGUGGGUAGUUUGACUGGGGCGGUCUCCUCCCAAAGCGUAACGGAGGAGCACGAAGGUUAGCUAAUCCUGGUCGGACAUCAGGAGGUUAGUGCAAUGGCAUAAGCUAGCUUGACUGCGAGCGUGACGGCGCGAGCAGGUGCGAAAGCAGGUCAUAGUGAUCCGGUGGUUCUGAAUGGAAGGGCCAUCGCUCAACGGAUAAAAGGUACUCCGGGGAUAACAGGCUGAUACCGCCCAAGAGUUCAUAUCGACGGCGGUGUUUGGCACCUCGAUGUCGGCUCAUCACAUCCUGGGGCUGAAGUAGGUCCCAAGGGUAUGGCUGUUCGCCAUUUAAAGUGGUACGCGAGCUGGGUUUAGAACGUCGUGAGACAGUUCGGUCCCUAUCUGCCGUGGGCGCUGGAGAAUUGAGGGGGGCUGCUCCUAGUACGAGAGGACCGGAGUGGACGCAUCACUGGUGUUCGGGUUGUCAUGCCAAUGGCACUGCCCGGUAGCUAAAUGCGGAAGAGAUAAGUGCUGAAAGCAUCUAAGCACGAAACUUGCCCCGAGAUGAGUUCUCCCUGAGACUUUAAGUCUCCUGAAGGAACGUUGAAGACGACGACGUUGAUAGGCCGGGUGUGUAAGCGCAGCGAUGCGUUGAGCUAACCGGUACUAAUGAACCGUGAGGCUUAACCU
rnacentral:rRNA from 1 species